rnacentral:rRNA from 1 species
UUCGUAGGGUGCGAGCGUUGUCCGGAAUUACUGGGCGUAAAGAGCUCGUAGGUGGUUUGUCGCGUUGUUCGUGAAAACUCACAGCUUAACUGUGGGCGUGCGGGCGAUACGGGCAGACUGGAGUACUGCAGGGGAGACUGGAAUUCCUGGUGUAGCGGUGGAAUGCGCAGAUAUCAGGAGGAACACCGGUGGCGAAGGCGGGUCUCUGGGCAGUAACUGACGCUGAGGAGCGAAAGCGUGGGGAGCGAACAGG